UUAAAUUAAUUUUUUUUUGCACUACACAUGAGCCAUAUGAUAUUGUUCCUUGGCAUCCUUGUAAGCAGGACCGACUGUUAUUUGUUCAUGAAACUCAGUUUUACAGUUCAUGAUGAGCCAGUAUUUUUUGAAGAAAUGGUGAAAAGGUCAUUUAUACAUUUUCACUAAUGAAAAGGUCUAUGGGCUAUACUAAUCUUAUGAUUUCUGUGUGAAUCAUGCUCCUUAAAACCUGACUGAUCUUUUAUGCAGUCAUUAGCUUUGGAGUACCACAGACAGAAUAAGAUAGCACAAGUUUCAAUGAAUAUUCUCUGCCCACAUUAUAUGUUUUAUUAAAAAAAAAAACAAUUUACUGAAAAAGAAUCUCUGCCUCACUUUUUAGUCUCAAGAGGGAUGUUUUCAUGUUGUCUCUAUAAACCUAUACAUACAUUUGAUAAAGAGAUUGUUUUUACUGACAGUGAUCUGUUUAUCUUCCUUCACUCUUCCAGGAUUGUUGAAAUUUACAGCAGACGUUUACAAGUUCAGGAAAGAUUAACAAAACAAAUUGCUGUUGCCAUCACUGAAGCCUUGCAGCCUGCCGGUGUUGGGGUUGUUAUAGAAGCCACUCACAUGUGCAUGGUCAUGAGAGGUGUACAGAAGAUGAACAGCAAGACCGUGACUAGCACAAUGCUGGGUGUCUUCCGUGAGGACCCCAAAACACGAGAUGAAUUUCUCACCCUUAUUAGAAGCUGAAUAGACCUUCUGUAACAACCUGCCGUCCCUAGAUCAUUAUGCACAUUUUAUGUUAAUUUCUACCUAAACCCAGAGAGAUUUCAUUUAUGUGGUCAAUUUUAAUAUCUAAACAGGCUAUCCAGUUUUCUGUGCAUUUGUGUCAAAGCGUGGUAUAAAAUGAUUUCAACCAAGGACUGGUCAUCCGUAAAGUACUAGCCAUAGAAUACACAUAGUUUGUUAUAAUUAAACCAUAAUCAUAGUAAGUACAUUGUAUUAUUCACUUUAUUACCCAAUAUAUCCAAAGAAAAUAUUUGUAUGCACAACUUUGAGGUAAAAGACUAUCAAAAGUUUUCUCCUUGAUAUCCUACAGAAUAAAAUGCAAGUUGCCAGUAUUUCUCUAACAUAAAUGACAAUCUCUCAUGUGUGUAUUUUAGAUUGGCCUUCUUACCAGUUUACUUGAAAUUGCAUUCAUAUAUUGAGAUGUUUUCUAUGUUAGUUUUUUGUAUGUUUUAAAUAUUAUACUAGGACAAAAAUGAACCAUUUACCAAUUCUAUGGUGGCAUUGUGGCCUCACACUUCCACUGUUGUGGGUUUGAUUUGUGCCCUCAGCUCUGUCUGUGUUGUGCUCUUCCUCUGUGCGUGUUUGCUCCUGUAGGCCAAAAACACAUCUAGGGAAAGUGCCAUUUCUGAAUCAUCCAAAGUGUGUAAGAAUAUUCUUGAACUGGCAUCUCAUCCAGGUUGCCCUGUGUUUCCUGGAAUCACUGUGACCCUGUACUAAUUAAAGAUGAAUUGUGUAAUUGUC